UCAUGUGUCAAAAUUAAUGCAAGUUAAUGCAGUGGCUAAAGGACGUGAUGUUAUUUUUUUAAAGAAAAAAAUUAUUUUGAACUCCAUGCCCAAGAGGGUUAAGGCAGUGCCUCGAAAAAUGGACUUGUUAAUUUGCCUGGCCAUAUAUUUUGUUUUAUAUAUAUAUGUCAGUAAAUGCUUCUUUCUGGGUUGUUUUUAAGAGAUAUGUAUAUGUAAACAUUUCAUUUUUCCCUACAGUUUGGGGUCCACCGUAUCACAGCACCUCUCUGGGGCAGUCUUUUGUUCACCUUGAUGGCCCGUUAAAGAAUGGGCCAUCAGGUAUCCAGCCGACGGAGCUGAAAUUCCAGAAGGCAUAUCCCUCCAGACCUCAACCCAGCUUUGUUUUACCCGUCAACGAAUUGGUGAUUGGUCACCUGAUGCCUCAGAAUAGGUGGGCAUGUCUAAUGUUUGGGCAUAAAUACAGAGGCUACAUUCAAGGUAGUUUACUCUGUUUUGGAUAAGGAUAGAUAUUCUGUUCCUGCAUUUGCUUUGAUACUGCUUUAAGAAUGGCUCCAAACAGUUUGCUGAACGCAACAUUGUCCACUGCUUGCAGUGCAAGAAGCCACAGAAACAUCUUGCUAGCCACCUGGCUAGAGUGUGUAUGAAAGUCAGCACAGCAGAAGAAAGGCAAGCUGAGAUCCAGAAGGCCAAGGUAUCUUCCAGACAGUGGGUCUGGAGGAACAGGACCUGGGAUUACCUCCAGCUUUGUUCUUUCCUGCCCCACAGUCCGUGUGCUUAUUUACUGGUGCAAGAGGCGCUGGUUCUUUAUCACCAACAUGCCACAAGAGUCAGACAUUGCCAUGGACUCAGGUGAUGCCACCUCCUCACAACAGGGUUCGAUUUCUGAUCAGAGAUAUGAUGACAGUGUUCGCACACUGACACAGUAACAGGCCAUGUUGGCGGUAGCCAGGAACGACUUCCUGAAAAUCUUUCGGAAGCUCAUCUCAAGCACAGAGGUCCUCUCGACAGAGGAGACCAGCUAUCGAGGCCACUGCACGGCAUUUUUGGUGUUACGUCACUUUCAGUGCCUGGCAGCAGUGCAAGGCCUGACCUGUCAGAGUGGGUCAACAGGAAGGAAGUUGACGACAGGGUGGUGAUUGGCUUUGGCCGAGAUGAAACGAUGCAGCAAGCUGCCCGUUUUGCCUCGACAAAGGAGGAGGAAGCUUGGUUGCAGGCAUAUUACUCACACAUCCGGCCAAGAGUGAUCAGGAGUGACCUGAACUGUGACACGUUCUUCUUUUCGUCAGCUGGCACUGCUUUGCUCAGUUUCGAAUGACCUCGGUGUGCUCCACAAUUAUUUAUGAAAAAAGCUGGAGUGUGGGCACACUCGAAAACUUUAAGAGCCACCAGUCGUCAGGCGAGGAGUGCUUUAGAGACAGCAGCGGCUAACCUGACGAACACGGAGAAGGAGGCCGUGUCCUCUUACCUGGCCUAGAACACUUCUGUGGCCAAACUGCGCAGAGCACCUACACCACAGACUGUAGUGGCCACGGCUACACUGCUGGAUGCCUUGGCAGGGAAGGGUUCAUCAUCUUAAACAUACCUUCUUUCCUUUUACAGCUCUGCCACCAACCGGUUUUCCGGUCCAUCGGGCACAAAGUCUUCGGACUUUUCAGACUUUUUAAAGACGUUCCUGGCAUCAGCACACAGCAAAGCACCCACCAAACAGGACAGGUUAAAGGCAGGCUUUCCGGGCGAUCGUGUCUUCUACGACAAGUGGCGUGCCUCCCAAAAGGCCAAAAGAAUGGAAUGGCUGCUGGGCCUUUACCCGAAAACCCCCAAAAAGCAGGGUGAAAUGCAUGAUUCUGAAGGAGGGGUGGAAGAGUAACUGUCCAAAGCCAGCGGACGUUUUCGCGGCAUGGAAACCAGCCACCAAACUUGUCAUUGAGACUGAUGAGGACAGGAAUGUGUCUCAGCAGACGUGGAAAGGCCUGGCCAUCAAAGAUUUUGGUGGAGAGAAAGGGCUAGGAGUUGUUGCAACCCAACCCUUUUCCAAGGGUGACAUCUUGUGUGAUUACCAUGGAAAGGUAAUCACAUAUGCCCAGGGAAAAGUCAUGAUGCAGAAUCUACAGGAUGAAGCAGGGUACCUGUUUUUCUUCAGGACCGGGCAGAGGCAUAUCUGCAUCAACGCCCAGACUUUUCCCUGUGAAUGCCACCCCUGUGCAGACACUGUGGGCAGAAGAGUGAAUCAUUCAUCCAAGCAAGCCAACCUGUGUCCAGAACCUUUCGUUUUGAAGGUGAAUGGACAGGACGUGGAUGUCAUCCUCUUCAGAGCCCUGCAGGACAUCAGUGUGGACACCGAACUGAAAUUUGACUAUGGUGUAAAAAGGAAGUCCUUCCGAGGAGAGGGCCAGGGUCUGCUAUGGCUAGAUGAGUAGCAUAGCACAUCAUCAGUUGAGCAACCUCAGUCAAAUGGGGUUCUGAUCCCUAUGUUGUAAACAAUGUAAAUAUUUGAAAAGCCUAGUUCUGUGUAGACUAUUACUAAUUUUUUUUUUCCAUCCACUUUUGCAAAAU